rnacentral:rRNA from 1 species
AUGCACGCUGGCGGCGUGCCUAAUACAUGCAAGUCGAGCGAACGGACGAGAAGCUUGCUUCUCUGAUGUUAGCGGCGGACGGGUGAGUAACACGUGGAUAACCUACCUAUAAGACUGGGAUAACUUCGGGAAACCGGAGCUAAUACCGGAUAAUAUUUUGAACCGCAUGGUUCAAAAGUGAAAGACGGUCUUGCUGUCACUUAUAGAUGGAUCCGCGCUGCAUUAGCUAGUUGGUAAGGUAACGGCUUACCAAGGCAACGAUGCAUAGCCGACCUGAGAGGGUGAUCGGCCACACUGGAACUGAGACACGGUCCAGACUCCUACGGGAGGCAGCAGUAGGGAAUCUUCCGCAAUGGGCGAAAGCCUGACGGAGUAACGCCGCGUGAGUGAUGAAGGUCUUCGGAUCGUAAAACUCUGUUAUUAGGGAAGAACAUAUGUGUAAGUAACUGUGCACAUCUUGACGGUACCUAAUCAGAAAGCCACGGCUAACUACGUG